rnacentral:rRNA from 1 species
AACGCUAGCUACAGGCUUAACACAUGCAAGUCGAGGGGCAGCAUUGGAGUAGCAAUACUUCAGAUGGCGACCGGCGCACGGGUGAGUAACACGUAUCCAACCUGCCGCUUACUCGGGGAUAGCCUUUCGAAAGAAAGAUUAAUACCCGAUGGUAUAAAGAGUUCGCAUGUUCUCUUUAUUAAAGAAUUUCGGUAAGCGAUGGGGAUGCGUUCCAUUAGAUAGUUGGCGGGGUAACGGCCCACCAAGUCUACGAUGGAUAGGGGUUCUGAGAGGAAGGUCCCCCACAUUGGAACUGAGACACGGUCCAAACUCCUACGGGAGGCAGCAGUGAGGAAUAUUGGUCAAUGGGCGAGAGCCUGAACCAGCCAAGUAGCGUGAAGGAUGACUGCCCUAUGGGUUGUAAACUUCUUUUAUAAGGGAAUAAAGUGAAGGACGUGUCCCUUUUUGUAUGUACCUUAUGAAUAAGGAUCGGCUAACUCCGUGCCAGCAGCCGCGGUAAUACGGAGGAUCCAAGCGUUAUCCGGAUUUAUUGGGUUUAAAGGGAGCGUAGGUUGACAUAUAAGUCAGCUGUGAAAGUUUACGGCUCAACCGUGAAAUUGCAGUUGAUACUGUAUGUCUUGAGUGUACAAGAGGUGGGCGGAAUUCGUGGUGUAGCGGUGAAAUGCUUAGAUAUCACGAAGAACUCCGAUUG